rnacentral:rRNA from 1 species
CCUACGUGAGGCUGCAGUGGGGAAUAUUGCGCAAUGGGCGAAAGCCUGACGCAGCGACGCCGCGUGAGGGAUGAAGGUCUUCGGAUCGUAAACCUCUGUCAGCAGGGAAGAACCGUCACUGUGCUAAUCAGCAGUGAAUUGACGGUACCUGCAAAGGAAGCACCGGCUAACUCCGUGCCAGCAGCCGCGGUAAUACGGAGGGUGCGAGCGUUAAUCGGAAUUACUGGGCGUAAAGCGCUCGUAGGCGGUAUGUCAAGUCAAGGGUGAAAUCCCCGCGCUCAACGUGGGAACUGCCUUUGAAACUGGCAAACUGGAGUGUGUGAGAGGAUAGUGGAAUUCCAGGUGUAGGAGUGAAAUCCGGAGAUAUCUGGAGGAACAUCAGUGGCGAAGGCGACUAUCUGGCACAUAACUGACGCUGAGGAGCGAAAGCGUGGGUAGCAAACAGGAUUAGAUACCCCGGUAGUC